CCUACGGGAGGCAGCAGUGAGGAAUAUUGGUCAAUGGGCGAGAGUCUGAACCAGCCAAGUAGCGUGAAGGAUGACUGCCCUAUGGGUUGUAAACCUCUUUUAUAAGGGAAUAAAGUGAGGGACGCGUGCCUCUUUGCAUGUACUUUAUGAAUAAGGAUCGGCUAACUCCGUGCCAGCAGCCGCGGUAAUACGGAGGAUCCGAGCGUUAUCCGGAUUUAUUGGGUUUAAAGGGUGCGUAGACGGGUUUUUAAGUCAGCUGUGAAAGUUUGCGGCUCAACCGUAGAAUUGCAGUUGAUACUGGCAGUCUUGAGUACGGUGGAGGUAGGCGGAAUGCGUGGUGUAGCGGUGAAAUGCAUAGAUAUCACGAAGAACCCCGAUUGCGAAGGCAGCUUACUAAGCUAUGACUGACAUUGAUGCACGAAAGUGUGGGGAUCAAACAGGAUUAGAUACCCCUGUAGUC
rnacentral:rRNA from 1 species